rnacentral:rRNA from 1 species
AGUGAACGCUGGCGGUAGGCCUAACACAUGCAAGUCGAACGGCAGCACAAGAGAGCUUGCUCUCUGGGUGGCGAGUGGCGGACGGGUGAGGAAUACAUCGGAAUCUACUCUGUCGUGGGGGAUAACGUAGGGAAACUUACGCUAAUACCGCAUACGACCUACGGGUGAAAGCAGGGGACCCUCGGGCCUGGCGCGAUUGAAUGAGCCGAUGUCGGAUUAGCUAGUUGGCGGGGUAAAGGCCCACCAAGGCGACGAUCCGUAGCUGGUCUGAGAGGAUGAUCAGCCACACUGGAACUGAGACACGGUCCAGACUCCUACGGGAGGCAGCAGUGGGGAAUGUUGGACAAUGGGCGCAAGCCUGAUCCAGCCAUACCGCGUGGGUGAAGAAGGCCUUCGGGUUGUAAAGCCCUUUUGUUGGGAAAGAAAUCCAGCUGGCUAAUACCCGGUUGGGAUGACGGUACCCAAAGAAUAAGCACCGGCUAACUUCGUGCCAGCCGCCGCAGUAA